rnacentral:rRNA from 1 species
GGGUGAGUAAUGCCUAGGAAUCUGCCUGGUAGUGGGGGACAACGUUUCGAAAGGAACGCUAAUACCGCAUACGUCCUACGGGAGAAAGUGGGGGAUCUUCGGACCUCACGCUAUCAGAUGAGCCUAGGUCGGAUUAGCUAGUUGGUGAGGUAAAGGCUCACCAAGGCGACGAUCCGUAACUGGUCUGAGAGGAUGAUCAGUCACACUGGAACUGAGACACGGUCCAGACUCCUACGGGAGGCAGCAGUGGGGAAUAUUGGACAAUGGGCGAAAGCCUGAUCCAGCCAUGCCGCGUGUGUGAAGAAGGUCUUCGGAUUGUAAAGCACUUUAAGUUGGGAGGAAGGGCAGUAAGUUAAUACCUUGCUGUUUUGACGUUACCAACAGAAUAAGCACCGGCUAACUUCGUGCCAGCAGCCGCGGUAAUACGAAGGGUGCAAGCGUUAAUCGGAAUUACUGGGCGUAAAGCGCGCGUAGGUGGUUCGUUAAGUUGGAUGUGAAAGCCCCGGGCUCAACCUGGGAACUGCAUCCAAAACUGGCGAGCUAGAGUAUGGCAGAGGGUGGUGGAAUUUCCUGUGUAGCGGUGAAAUGCGUA